rnacentral:rRNA from 1 species
UGUCAAGUCCUCAUGGCCCUUAUGUCCAGGGCUACACACGUAAUACAAUGGCCGGUACAAAGGGAUGCAAGACUGUGAAGUUAAGCAAAACUCAAAAAAUCGGUCUCAGUCCGGAUUGAAGUCUGCAAUUCGACUUCAUGAAGUUGGAAUCGCUAGUAAUCGCGGAUCAGCACGCCGCGGUGAAUACGUUCUCGGGCCUU